AUGGAGAGACAUUUUGCCACACGAUGAAUCACACACCACAUCUCAUCCCCGAGCUUCAGCUGCAGGACAAUGCUGCCAGAGGCCUGGUCCUCAGAGCUCACGUAAGCAUCUCUGGUGUGCAGUAUUUUUACUCCGUUUUUGACCAAAGACACCUGAACAUUCCUGGAGAAAACAGUGAUGUGGUAGGUGAAGUAAUAGACCCCAGCAAUGUGGCACGUGAAUUUCCCCACUGCUGUAUCAUAAUGGUUGAAUUCAUUAUACAGGAUCUUAUCAAAUUUAAUGGGCACAUCUGAAGAAGGAAACUUGCUCAGCACCGUGAGCCCCACAGUGAAAGCACUUUUUGGCAAGACUAGAGUCUCACCGAUUUUCCCUUUCUCUCCUCGAUCUCCUUUCCAGCCUCUUAUUCCCCGGACUCCUGGCUCACCCUGGGGCCCCGUGGGUCCAGCUUCUCCCUUGGGACCAGGCUUUCCAAUAGGGCCCAUGGGGCCCGGUAAACCAGUUGGGCCCAAAGGCCCAAUGUUGCCCCUUGGCCCCUCAGGACCAGUGGGACCCACGUCACCCUUAUUCCCCUUCUGCCCCUGAGGCCCAGUCUCUCCUCGGAGGCCUUUCUCUCCCAUGGGCCCUGCAAGCCCCUUGGGGCCAUGUUUUC
rnacentral:lncRNA from 1 species